AAAUGCAGUAUUACCAUUUAUUCGAACUUUAAUUCCAUGAUAGGAAAUAGGGUGAUGGGUUCUUAUUUGAUUUGGCGUCGAAAACUAGAUUUUUACUGCGCUUACGGGCGAUCCCUAAUUCCCUGAAUUUUUUUUCGGGAAUUGAAACGCGCUUACAAUACCUACACAUGUCCCAAAUAACCCAAAAAAUCAUACCCAGGGCCUACUCGGCCAAUUUCAAAAUUCCGGCAUGACGGCUCCGCUGUGCUCCAUCGACGGCGCUGCCGCGAGCGGCAGUGAUUCGCCUCGGGUUGGCUGUUUUUGGCCGUUCUUGACCGAAUUCAGCCAAACUUGGAUCGGUUCCUGUGAGAAAACACACUUAGGGCCCUCGGUAGGCCGAAAAAAAUAUAAAAAA
rnacentral:lncRNA from 1 species